GUGUGCACUCCUGAGGACAGUGGUGAGAGAAGCUCUGUUGGCUUCCUGGGGUGGGUUGGGCCAGAGGAAAUGGCAACACCUGUGUGGUCUGUCUGUCUAUCGCCAGGACAGGGCACUGGGGCAAAUUUCAGGUUUGCCAUCCCUCACCCUCCAACACUGAUACUUCUCCUUUUUUUCAGGAGAGGCUCAAAGCUUGUUCAGGGGAGGCCUGGGACACAAUGCUGCUUGGAUAUCACGGAGAUGCAUUUAGCAACCAAGAGAGGGUGAGGAUUUAUGCAGAUGCUGAGAGAGAAGAAAGCACUGUUAGAGUGAAGAAGAAGAGGCAAUAGCAAUUUUGAAGAAAAACAAUAACAAUUUUAACAGUAGCUGACAUUCUGUUUGGAAAGACAGCAGGAAUAUUUGUUAUCUUUUCUGCCAGAGUGGCCCAGUUCUGAUUUAUUGAUAUUAUCUUGAAGAUGACAGAAAACUGUAUUAAUCUACUUGAAAUGAAAACCUAGGCUUUGAGAACAGUUGUUGACACUUUCUGAGGGGCGAAGUGACUGAAAUCAAUCAUAUUUUAUAACUCACAGCAGUUUCUGUAAGCAAUUCGAAGAUCCAGCUGCCCCACUAGUACCAGGUUUCCAUCGAUGGCUGCAAUCCAGCUGUCAGGAACAGCUCCUCAGUCCAAGUCAUCCUUGCAGUAAUAGUGGCAAAUGGAUAGAGCCAUAUGACCUCUCCACACAAAUGCCUGCCCAGAUGUGCAGUAUUGUGAAGAUGCAGACCUAACUGAAGACUAAACAGAAUUUUUCAUCCCAAGGCCAAGGCAUACAAGAAGGUACUCCUGGCACAUGAAGGGUGAGCUAGAGGAAGGAGAAAAGACUGAAUUAUGCAGGCUGCAAAUGGAAUGGGAAGUGACAAUCCAAACAACAUAGCCAUGGAGUAAUUUUUUUUUGGAGAGGAGCCUCUGGAGUUCAGCCACUUCUCAAAGAGGCCCAGCUUCAAAGAGCAGGUUGCUUAGAGCCUUGACAAGCUGACCUCUGAACAUCUCAGUUCAAUGUGGUAGUUGGCACAACAGAAGGAAGGAAUGCCAUCCAGAGGGACCUGGACAAGCUUGAGAAGUGGAUCCACAUGAACUCAUGAGACUCCACCAAUCCAAGUGUAAGGUACUGUACUGUGGGAGAUACAGCCCCAGAUGCGAGUACAGAGAGGGAGAAGAACCCAUUGAGAUCCCUGUGGAGAAAGAAUUGGGGUCUCUUGUGGAUGAAAAGCUGGACAUGAGCACUCACAG
rnacentral:lncRNA from 1 species